CUCACUCGUUUUCUCCCUCCCACACAUACACACACACCUUCUGACAACAUUUUUUUUAAAAACAGGGGAGCAGUUUGUCAACACCAGGCAUGGCAAAUCAAGAUGUAAUAACACUCUCAAGAGGUUUUUGAAAAUGUCUCAAGCAAUAGCAGUAUCAAGAUACAUGAACAAAUUCCCAAGGUCACCAGAUCCAAGACACCUAUGUCCACAAGUCACGGCAAAAAGCCAUCACGCAUAAGCACGUAGGUCCACUUAUUCUUUUUGUUUUAGUUUGUUUAUUUUAUGUGCGAGAGACAGAAGAAGAUAAGCACCUUCGACGAGGUCUCAUGCCGCAAUCCUUUCAGCCAGCCGGGAUCCUGGGCGCGCCCUCGCCCACACACGUGGCAUGUACAAGUUGGCCUGGGAAGAGAACCCCGAACUUCCUCAUGGCUUCCAGCACUGCACCGCCAGGACUGGGCCUACGACCACCUAUUCUUAUGUCCUAGCAGUAAAGGCUGCAAGGUCAGCUUGGAUCCCAGGACAAAGUGACAGGCCAGGAGGUGAUGUGGUAGUUAAGGCUCUGGACUCCCACAUGGUGGGCCAUGGUUUGAG